GGACGGGUGGCCGAGUGGCUUAAGGCGCACGACUGGAAAUCGUGUGGGCAUCCGCCCGCGUGGGUUCGAAUCCCACCCCGUCCG
rnacentral:tRNA from 1 species